rnacentral:tRNA from 1 species
GCCCGUAUAGUUCCAAUUGGUAGAACGCCUGUUUUGUAAUCAGGAUGUUGGGAGUUCGAACCUCUCUAUGGGCACCA